rnacentral:rRNA from 1 species
AAAACAUUGUCUCAUGAAUACAAUAUGAGAUAAUACCUGCCCAGUGACAUCUGUUCAACGGCCGCGGUAUCCUAACCGUGCAAAGGUAGCAUAAUCACUUGCCUAUUAAUUGUAGGCUAGAAUGAAUGGGUUAACGAAAUAAAAACUGUCUCAAUUAGUAGACUAAAAAUUAUUUUCUAUCUGAAGAAAGAUAGAUAAUCUCGAGGGACAAGAAGACCCUAUAGAGCUUAAUUUUACUUAUAGGACCACACUAUAGAAAAUAUUCGGUUGGGGCGACCCAGGGUAAAAUAAUCACCCCAAACAUAAAAGAUAAAUUAAUCAAAUAAUUGACCCUUUAAAGAUCAUAAGAACAAGCUACCUUAGGGAUAACAGGCUAAUCCCACUCAAGAGUCCUUAUCAACAGUGGGGUUUGGCACCUCGAUGUUGGCUUAGGGUAUCUAUAUAGCGCAGAAGUUACAUAAAGAUGGUUUGUUCAACCAAUAAUAUCCCUACGUGAUC